GAUGAAGAACGCAGCGAAAUGCGAUAAGUAAUGUGAAUUGCAGAAUUCAGUGAAUCAUCGAAUCUUUGAACGCACAUUGCGCCCCUUGGUAUCCCGAGGGGCAUGCCUGUUCGAGCGUCAUUUCACCACUCAAGCCUGGCUUGGUGUUGGGCGACGUCCUCUUUGGGGACGCGCCUCGAAACGCUCGGCGGCGUGGCAUCGGCUUUAAGCGUAGCAGAAUCUUUCGCUUUGGAAGUCGGGGCCCCGUCUGCCGGAAGACCUGCUCGCAAGGUUGACCUCGGAUCAGGCAGGGAUACCCGCUGAACUUAAGCAUAUCAAUAAGCGGAGGA
rnacentral:misc_RNA from 1 species